rnacentral:rRNA from 1 species
GUGUCAGCAGCCGCGGUAAUACAGAGGGUGCAAGCGUUAAUCGGAAUUACUGGGCGUAAAGCGUGCGUAGUCGGUUAUUCAAGUCGGGCGUGAAAGCCCCGGGCUCAACCUGGGAAUUGCGUUCGAUACUGUCUAGCUAGAGUUCGGCAGAGGGAAGUGGAAUUUCAGGUGUAGCGGUGAAAUGCGUAGAUAUCUGAAGGAACAUCAGUGGCGAAAGCGACUUCCUGGACCAGAACUGACGAUCAGGCACGAAAGCGUGGGGAGCAAACAGGAUUAGAAACCCCGGUAGUCC